CCCUUAGAUGAUCUGGGCCGCACGCGCGCUACACUGAUGCAUUCAACGAGUGUACCUUGGCCGAGAGGCCUGGGCAAUCUUUUGAACGUGCAUCGUGAUAGGGAUAGAUUAUUGCAAUUAUUAAUCUUGAACGAGGAAUUCCUAGUAAACGCAGAUCAUCAAUCUGCAUUGAUUACGUCCCUGCCCUUUGUACACACCGCCCGUCGCACCUACCGAUUGGAUGGUCCGGUGAAGCCUCGGGAUUGUGGCGGUUGCCUUUAUUGGUGGCCGCCGCGAGAACUUGUCUAAACCUUAUCAUCUAGAGGAAGGUGAAGUCGUAACA
rnacentral:rRNA from 1 species